rnacentral:rRNA from 1 species
UGCAAGUCGAACGGCAGCGCGGGGCAACCUGGCGGCGAGUGGCGAACGGGUGAGUAAUAUAUCGGAACGUACCCUGGAGUGGGGGAUAACGUAGCGAAAGUUACGCUAAUACCGCAUACGAUCUAAGGAUGAAAGCAGGGGACCGCAAGGCCUUGUGCUCCUAGAGCGGCCGAUAUCUGAUUAGCUAGUUGGUGGGGUAAAGGCCCACCAAGGCAUCGAUCAGUAGCUGGUCUGAGAGGACGACCAGCCACACUGGAACUGAGACACGGCCCAGACUCCUACGGGAGGCAGCAGUGGGGAAUUUUGGACAAUGGGCGCAAGCCUGAUCCAGCAAUGCCGCGUGAGUGAAGAAGGCCUUCGGGUUGUAAAGCUCUUUUGUCAGGGAAGAAACGGUGAGGGCUAAUAUCCCUUGCUAAUGACGGUACCUGAAGAAUAAGCACCGGCUAACUACGUGCCAGCAGCCGCGGUAAUACGUAGGGUGCAAGCGUUAAUCGGAAUUACUGGGCGUAAAGCGUGCGCAGGCGGUUUUGUAAGUUUGUCGUGAAAUCCCCGGGCUCAACCUGGGAAUGGCGAUGAAGACUGCAAGGCUAGAGUUUGGCAGAGGGGGGUAGAAUUCCACGUGUAGCAGUGAAAUGCGUAGAUAUGUGGAGGAACACCGAUGGCGAAGGCAGCCCCCUGGGUCAAAACUGACGCUCAUGCACGAAAGCGU